rnacentral:rRNA from 1 species
CCUACGGGAGGCAGCAGUGGGGAAUUUUGGACAAUGGGCGCAAGCCUGAUCCAGCCAUGCCGCGUGAGUGAAGAAGGCCUUCGGGUUGUAAAGCUCUUUCGGUGAAGACGAAACGGUUAGCGCUAAUAACGCUGACUAAUGACGGACUCACAGACGGA